rnacentral:rRNA from 1 species
CGCGAACACUCCUACGGGGAGGCAGCAGUAGGGAAUCUUCCACAAUGGGCGCAAGCCUGAUGGAGCAACACCGCGUGAGUGAAGAAGGGUUUCGGCUCGUAAAGCUCUGUUGUUAAAGAAGAACACGUAUGAGAGUAACUGUUCAUACGUUGACGGUAUUUAACCAGAAAGUCACGGCUAACUACGUGCCAGCAGCCGCGGUAAUACGUAGGUGGCAAGCGUUAUCCGGAUUUAUUGGGCGUAAAGAGAGUGCAGGCGGUUUUCUAAGUCUGAUGUGAAAGCCUUCGGCUUAACCGGAGAAGUGCAUCGGAAACUGGAUAACUUGAGUGCAGAAGAGGGUAGUGGAACUCCAUGUGUAGCGGUGGAAUGCGUAGAUAUAUGGAAGAACACCAGUGGCGAAGGCGGCUACCUGGUCUGCAACUGACGCUGAGACUCGAAAGCAUGGGUAGCGAACAGGAUUAGAUACCCUGGUAG